rnacentral:rRNA from 1 species
UACGUAGGGGGCGAGCGUUGUCCGAAUUUACUGGGCGUAAAGCGCGCGUAGGCGGGUUGGCAAGUCUGCUGUGAAAGCCCGGGGCUUAACUCCGGAGGGUCGGUGGAUACUGCCAGUCUUGAAGGUGCUAGGGAGAGAUGGAAUUACCGGUGUAGCGGUGAAAUGCGUAGAUAUCGGUAGGAACACCAGUGGCGACGGCGGUCUCUUGGGGCAUUAACUGACGCUGAGGAGCGAAAGCAUGGGGAGCGAACAGG